UACGGAGGAUGCAAGCGUUAUCCGGAAUGAUUGGGCGUAAAGCGUCCGCAGGUGGCUGUGUAAGUCUGCUGUUAAAGAGUGAGGCUCAACCUCAUAAAGGCAGUGGAAACUACACGGCUAGAGUGCGUUCGGGGCAGAGGGAAUUCCUGGUGUAGCGGUGAAAUGCGUAGAGAUCAGGAAGAACACCGGUGGCGAAGGCGCUCUGCUGGGCCGCAACUGACACUGAGGGACGAAAGCUAGGGGAGCGAAUGGG
rnacentral:rRNA from 1 species